GUUCACCUUCAGCUCAGACAGCAGCUUCAGAAGUUAAACCUGAGUUGAUGGUGAAGUUGAACCUGAUUUAAUUUCUGAAGCUGCUGUCUGAGCUGAAGGUGAAGUUAAACCUGGUCUAACAUCAACAUCAGCUCAGACAGCAGCUUCAGAAAUUAAACUGGGUUUAUCUUCUGAAGCUGCUGUCUGAGCUGAAGGUGACGUUA